UCCUCCCCGUGCCUUCGACACUGCGAUCGGCCUUGUCCCCUUUUCUGUCUUCCUUCGCGCUGCCAUGGAUCCCGACUUCCACUUUGACGCGGUGAGCUCGGACGAGGAGACCGUCACGGUUGACGAAGGGGCGAAAAAGCAGUCGCCGUGGGAGUUCUCUUCUUACUCGGAGUCCGUGGCCGAUGAGCACGUCCGGAGGAGAACCACCUCCGUCGACGCCAAGAUCUCCAAGGCUCUCCAACAACGCUCCGUCUCGCUUCCCGACGACGAAGAUGAUGACGACGAGGAAGAGCCCGAGGAGGAGGUGGAGGAGCACGAGGAGGAGGUCCUUUCCGCUGAUGAAUCCACCAAGAAAGAAAAUCAUAAAUUUCGAAAGCCUGAUGGUAAAAAUACGAGUGGAGGGGCAGAUGCUUUUUUUGCAUCAUCUGAUGGAGCAUCAUUCCAUGCAAAUUCUUUUAUUGAGCUGAACUUAUCUCGCUCUUUACUUAGAGCUUGUCAAGCAUUGGGAUACCAUAAGCCAACACCAAUUCAGGCUGCGUGCAUACCGUUAGCAUUAACUGGCCGUGAUAUAUGUGGUAGCGCCAUUACAGGCUCUGGAAAGACAGCUGCAUUCACCUUACCUGUGCUGGAGCGUUUGCUUUUCCGGCCCAAGCGUGUCCGUGCAAUCAGGGUGCUCAUUCUUACUCCAACCAGAGAGCUAGCUGCACAGGUCCAUAGUAUGAUAGAGAAACUUGCUCAAUUUACUGAUGUCAGAUGCUGCCUUGUUGUUGGCGGGCUUCCAACGAAGAUGCAAGAGGCAGCCUUGAGAUCAAUGCCUGAUAUUGUUGUAGCUACUCCAGGGAGAAUAAUAGAUCAUCUACGGAAUUCAGUUUCAGUUGGGCUUGAAGAUCUUGCUGUUCUCAUCCUUGAUGAGGCAGACCGUCUCCUGGAGUUGGGUUUCAGUGCUGAAAUUCAUGAACUGAUUCGCUUGUGCCCUAAACGGAGACAAACCUUGCUAUUUUCUGCUACUAUGACUGAAGAAGUCGAUCAGCUUGUCAAGCUUUCACUAAAUAAACCUGUACGCCUUCAGGCUGAUCCCUUUGCGAGACGACCAGCUACAUUGACUGAGGAGGUAGUUAGAAUACGACGUAUGCGUGAAGUAAAUCAGGAAGCAGUUCUCCUUGCACUAUGUUCCAAGACCUUCACACAGAAAGUGAUCAUUUUCAGUGGAACUAAACAGGCUGCACAUAGGUUAAAAAUAAUAUUUGGUCUGGCUGGAAUGAAAGCUGCUGAACUUCAUGGUAAUCUAACUCAAGCACAACGCCUUGAUGCUUUGGAACUAUUUAGAAGGCAAGAAGUCGAUUUUCUAAUUGCAACUGAUGUUGCUGCUCGUGGGCUCGACAUUGUUGGUGUUCAAACUGUAAUUAAUUUUGCAUGCCCUCGUGAUGAUAAAAGCUAUGUUCAUCGGGUUGGCCGUACAGCUAGAGCUGGGAGAGAAGGAUAUGCUGUUACAUUUGUGACUGAUGAUGAUCGUUCUCUCUUGAAGGCCAUUGCAAAGAAGGCUGGUUCACAAUUAAAGAGUCGAAUUGUUGCCGAAAAGUCAAUAGCUGAAUGGUCUCAAUUAAUUGAACAAAUGGAAGAUCAAAUUUUGACAGUUCUUCAAGAAGAAAGGGAGGAAAGAGCAUUGAGGAAAGCAGAAAUGGAAGCAACAAAGGCAGAAAAUAUGAUCGCACAUAAGGAAGAAAUUUUUUCACGCCCUAAAAAAACCUGGUUUGCAACUGAAAAGGAGAAGAAACUUCUAGCUAAGGCUGCAAAGGAAUCCUUGGAAAAAGACAAAAAUGGUCAAAAUGAGGUAAUAAGUGCUCAGCAAGCAGAAGAAUUGAAAUUGAAGGAGAAAAGAAGGAGAGAGCGUGAGAAAAAUCUGCCACGUAAGAAACGUCGAAGACUGGAAGCAGCUCGGGAGAUUUUAGAGAAUGAAGAGGAAGAUAGCAAUGAAGAUCAGGAAACUGGAGGUGGCAAGAAAGGGAAAACAGGGAAAUCACUUGUUGAUGUGGCUUACCGCCGAGCAAAAUCAAUGAAAGCUAUUCAGAAGGCACAUGAAGGUGGGAAGGUAUUGAAAAAUUCUGGCAAAAGGGCAAAACAACCUUCUCAAAAAAAUCAAACCAGAAAAGAAGAGAUGCUUGAACUAUUCCAGAAUGAUAUGAGUGAAAGGAAACAAAGCCGUACCUCUGAGAGAAGUAAUAAUGCUUCUAGAAGAAGAAAAUCUAAGAGUUCUUUCAAGAGUAAAUCAAGGUAUAAGCGGAGAAAGUAGGAGAAAGUUCUGGAACUUACUAAUCCAACAAGAUGUCAGUUGAUUUACAGUCACUGUUCGGAUCAUGGCGAUGCUCAUAUUUGGAAGACCUUGACGUGAUAAAAGAAGAAGAAGAGAGUCAGGAUGUCAUUAUUUAUUUUUAUCAUCUCCUUGUGGUAACCCCCCAACCCCUUUUUUUUUAAAAAAAUUCGGAUUCUGACCUGCUUUACCUUAAGAUAAUCUUACCAUAGUUAGGUUGAAUCUCACCGGAUAUAUUGUUCUUGGCCGUGUGAUUUGCAAGAAUUGUUUUUGUCCCCCCUGCCGUUUGAGAAUUUCAGCAUAAAAUUAUUAUUAGUAUUUGUAUGAUUAUUGUUUCAAAAGAGAAGAUUUGGUCAA